rnacentral:rRNA from 1 species
CUCAGUUCGGAUCGGAGUCUGNAACCCGACUCCGUGAAGCUGGAUUCGCUAGUAAUCGCGCAUCAGCCAUGGCGCGGUGAAUACGUUCCCGGGCCUUGUACACACCGCCCGUCAAGCCAUGGAAGCCGGGAGUGCCUGAAGUAUGCAACCGCAAGGAGCGUCCUAAGGUAAAACCGGUGACUGGGGCUAAGUCGUAACAAGGUAUC